ensembl:lncRNA
CCCGGCUCUCCCACCGCCUGGCUCUCCUACCCCCGGGCUCUCCCACCCCCAUCUCUCCCACUGACGGGCUCUCCCACCGACGGGUUCACUCCUUGCAGGCAGGCGCCGGGUUUCACCUGCUGCCUACCACGGGCCAGCAGCUUCUCGGAGCCCCCGCCCCCUGUCUUUCUGCGGGGACGUAUUUCCUAGGAGAGGUCGCAGCCCCUGAGGCUCUGGCGUACCUGGAGGGGGUCCCUGGGGGCCCUCUGGGAUUUGCUCCUGUGCCCCCCCCAUCCUGGUCAGCUCAGCGGGGGAGGCUGAGCUCUGUGACACCCCCCCCUCCGUCAUCCCUGCGCAGGUGCUGUCAGCCGGGCUUGGGUGGGGGGACUUCCCUGGACGGUCCCUCACCGGCCUGUCUUCCUUCCCGCCACGUAUCAGCAGGGACGUCUCUCCACGCGCCCCUCUCCCCGCGGGCGGCCCCGUCUCUUCUCCCGCGGGCGGCCCCACAAUCUGUGUGCCGUGUGCACGAGGAGGCUGCCUCCCGGAGCCCGGGCACCGGAUGCCACGGCCUGGCCGGCGCUGCUGCAGCUCUGGUGCCCCCUCCCAGCAGGCGCCCGUUACACCCUGAUGCCCCCCAGUACCCUGAGGCCCCCGGCACCCCGAGUCGCCCAUCCCCCUGCACCCGAGGGCUUGCACAGGCGCCCCCCGCCUGGCGCCCUGCUACGGAGGGACGUGUCCGUGAUGCCCCCGCGUGUCCACAGAGCGCACCCCUCUACCUGUGUCCCCGCCCCCCGCAGCCCGGUGUGCGGGAGAGCUCCGGGGCGGCUGCAGUGUCACGUCGGGGGGGGGGGGCNGGGGCCUCGGGGUGUAAGAGGGGGAGCCCCGCACGACCCGGUGCAGGUGUGUCGGAGAGCUCCGGGGCUGCUGCCAGAAGCGCUUCCCGCUCGUGGAGCCGUGUCCUCGUGUCCCGUGGGUUCACAGCGGCGGUCAGUGCAAUCAGCGGGCAUCGGUCAUAA